CUCUGGGAAGGACGUCCUGUGCUGGGAGAGGAAAGGCUUAAACAGGUCCAAGUGUCCUCGGCUGGGCCUGGUCUUCUGCGGCAGCCCGGGGCGAGCCAGGGCCCCCCGUUGCUGCUCUCAGCCUCUGACAGCUGGGAGGCCAGGAGGGGCCCAAGCUCCCACUCAGGCCCAGCUUUCUGCCAUUGUUAAGGGCAUGAUUCAUCCCCACGGCCACACCUGCCCUGAACUUCCCGUUUCCUGCUGUGUGAGGUGACGUUUCCUCUUAUUUUGAAGCCAGCUUGAGUCAGAGUUUCUGACUUGCAGCCGAGGGCACCACCUACUUCCUCUCAGCAAGCCACAGACCUCCACCAAGAAGGCGGGCCUGGGGCCCAGCACCACCUUCCUCUGUGUGCACCCUGCCGAGGAAGCCCGGGCCACCCCAGGUCCACGUCACAGGGAACUGAAAACCCGGGGGCUGUUCGCAACCUUCUGCUUAAGAGCCGUAAGCACACGGAGAUGCCUUGCUUCGAGCCCAGUGUCUGUGAUUUUGUCUCCCGAAGGACAUCGAGAUUAGGAUUUUCAAAUGAGGAUAUUCAAAUUAGGACUUUUGAAUAAUGAUACGAGUGCAUCCUGCCUGGCCUUUGAAAGUCCCCCUUAAGCAUAGGUCAGGGUGCAGUCAAAAUGUUAUAAGAAUUGAGAAAGAAAUAUACUCACAAAGAAAUACGAAUGAAAAUGUUCUCUGCUUCCCACACCAGCAGCACAUGGUAGGAAAAAAUGGCACAGCACAGAGUCUGAGAAAAACCUGUGGGUCUCAAAUCUCAAACCCGGCCAGGUCUUCAUCCAUGUGUGAGACAGGCUGUCCACUUAAAGUUACACUCUUGCCCUUUGAUCAGAGAAGGAGACUUUUGUCAAAACUGUUAACAAAACUCAGUCCCUGUCCCUGAUGCCAACCCAAUAACAAGGACAUGGUUUUCAGAAAAAAGAAAAAGAAGGUUCGUUGCUUUGCUAGCGAAGGAGAAGCACAGGGACUCCUGUCCCAGAGGCCAUGAUUCUGCCCUCAGCAGGAACAGGGGCUUUGAAAGAGGAGAUUCAAGAUCUUCUGGUACCUCUGGGUCACUUCUUUCCUGAGGUGGGCCUAUGCUCAAGGACAGACAACUCAGGCUAGGAUGAGGGAGAAAGGGGAUGCUGUUUCCCCUGGGAUUGGGGAGGAUCAGGAGAGAGGAGGAGAGGAAGAGACAUGUCCUUAUAAAAAUGCAUUCUAGUGGAGAGCAGCAAGGGCUGGACUCAAAGCAGGAAGUGGACGCUGCUACAAACAAAA
rnacentral:lncRNA from 1 species